rnacentral:rRNA from 1 species
CAAGGAAUUUUCGUCAAUGGGGGAAACCCUGAACGAGCAACGCCGCGUGGGCGAAGAAGUCUUUCGGGAUGUAAAGCCCUUUUCCCUGUGAAGAAAGAAAGACGGUAACAGGGGAAUAAGCAUCGGCUAACUACGUGCCAGCAGCCGCGGUAAUACGUAGGAUGCAAGCGUUGUCCGGAAUUAUUGGGCGUAAAGAGCGCGCAGGCGGUAACUCAAGUCAGAUGUGAAAUAUCCGGGCUUAACCCGGAGGGGUCAUUUGAAACUGAGUAACUAGAGUACAGCAGAGGAUAGCGGAAUUCCCGGUGUAGUGGUGAAAUGCGUAGAUAUCGGGAGGAACACCAGUGGCGAAGGCGGCUAUCUGGGCUGAAACUGACGCUGAGGCGCGAAGGCUAGGGGAGCAAACAG